GAGUUUGAUCCUGGCUCAGAUUGAACGCUGGCGGCAUGCCUUACACAUGCAAGUCGAACGGCAGCAUGAUCUAGCUUGCUAGAUUGAUGGCGAGUGGCGAACGGGUGAGUAAUACAUCGGAACGUGCCCUGUAGUGGGGGAUAACUAGUCGAAAGAUUAGCUAAUACCGCAUACGACCUGAGGGUGAAAGUGGGGGACCGCAAGGCCUCAUGCUAUAGGAGCGGCCGAUGUCUGAUUAGCUAGUUGGUGGGGUAAAGGCCCACCAAGGCGACGAUCAGUAGCUGGUCUGAGAGGACGAUC
rnacentral:rRNA from 1 species